GACGAACGCUGGCGGCGUGCCUAAUACAUGCAAGUCGAACGAACCGCGACUAGGUGCUUGCACUUGGUCAAGGUGAGUGGCGAACGGGUGAGUAACACGUGGGUAACCUACCUCAUAGUGGGGGAUAACAGUCGGAAACGACUGCUAAUACCGCAUAGGACAUAGGAUCACAUGAUCCAGUGAGGAAAGGUGGCGCAAGCUAUCGCUAAGAGAUGGACCCGCGGUGCAUUAGCUAGUUGGUAGGGUAAAGGCCUACCAAGGCGAUGAUGCAUAGCCGACCUGAGAGGGUGAUCGGCCACAUUGGGACUGAGACACGGCCCAAACUCCUACGGGAGGCAGCAGUAGGGAAUCUUCCGCAAUGGACGCAAGUCUGACGGAGCAACGCCGCGUGAGUGAAGAAGGUAUUCGGAUCGUAAAGCUCUGUUGUUAGAGAAGAACAGCGCAUAGAGUAACUGUUAUGCGUGUGGCGGUAUCUAACCAGAAAGCCACGGCUAACUACGUG
rnacentral:rRNA from 1 species